GGCUAAACCGGGUGGCUGGGGACAAUGCCAGGCUGCUGCGCUGGAGUUUGGCGCUGCAGCCUUUUAACUUUGAUAUUCAGUACCGCCCGGGUAAGCAGAGGGAAUGCCGACGGGUUGUCGAGACAAACUGACCUGGAAAAAUGAUCUGUGAGUCCCCGGACAUCCCCAAGCCGAUCCGUGUUGGAUCAGACUGUGUAUGCCGGCUUGUGGGCAAGGGGGAGCAGUGUAGCGGAU